rnacentral:rRNA from 1 species
CGCGGUAAAUCCAGCUCUCAAAGUGUAUAUCGUCAUUGCUGCGGUUAAAAAGCUCGUAGUUGGAUCUGAGUCUUUGGACGCGGUGCUCCUUUGGAGUAACUGUGCUCCUUGACUGAUUAGUCGGUUUUCCUUGGUUUGCCUUAACCGGUAGGCCUUGGUGGCUGGCAUGUUUACCUUGAAUAAAUCAAAGUGCUCAAGACAGGCUUUAAGCUUGAAUGUUCGUGCAUGGAAUAAUAGAAAAGGACUUCGGUUCGUUCUAUUGGUCUUAGGACCGAAGUAAUGGUUAAGAGGGACCGACGGGGGCAUCCGUAUCGCUGCGUGAGAGGUGAAAUUCUUGGACCGCAGCGGGACGUCCUAUUGCGAAAGCAUUUGCCAAGAAUGUCUUCAUUAAUCAAGAACGAAAGUCAGAGGAUCGAAGGCGAUUAGAUACCGCCCUAGUUCUGACCGUAAACGAUGCCAACUAGCGAUCAGGUGUUGAUAGUUUGGUCACGCCUGGGAGCUCCCCGGAAACGAAAGUCUUCGGGUUCCGGGGGUAGUAUGGUUGCAAAGCUGAAACUUAAAGGAAUUGACGGAAGGGCACCACCAGGAGUGGAGCCUGCGG